CAGUUUUAAUCUGGUACAGUAGUAUUUUGCAUCUGUACGGUUGUACUACUACCAUUCAUGCCUUUUUUUCAUUCUUUUCUCUUGACGUGAACCCAUUUCCCAUUCUCGUUCGUUUUUCUCUUUUUCUUCCACAGAUCGUUGCUAGAUCCAGUAAGUGAGAAGGACGUGGUGAGUAGGAUUUGCGGCAGAGUGUCGUCGUUGCAGGCUCUCGGCGGCGGCCGGUCCUCCAGCUCGACUACACGUGCCUGCUGCUCGCGCGCCGCCGUCGAUUGGAUGGCCAUGGAGUUCGCGUCCCUUGAACCUAAGCGGCAGCUCUCCUCCAGACGAAGAGAGUGUUCUCCGGUGAGGUACUACUCAGAAGCCGGGAAGGGCAAAUGCAGAGAGGUGACCAAUAUGCGCAUGGAAUUUUUUUAGGAUCAAUUGACAUUCUGCCCAACUUAGAUCGUCUCUUCAAUUUAGCUUGUCUCUUCAACACAUCCGUAUUAAUUAUGUGAAGUUCCGCAUAGCAAAAGGUGUUCAAUACUUCAUUGUUUCGUCUACUACCUAUAACACAAUCUUUCAAUAGUUCAUUGUCUUGUCUGUAUUUGUUAACAUUUAUAUACGUGAAUACACAUACAUUUAUUUGGUUGAGGAGGCUAUGUUGAUGUCUAUUUUUUUUAGAGACUAUUCGUGAGAGUGAUGAGAGUGUUAGUGCAGAGAUAUUACUAAUCGCUAUUUAGGUGGAAUUUCUUUGUGAACUUUCUCUAGAAUGAUCAAAUAUAGUACUCCCUCCGUUCCUAAAUAUAAGUUUUUUUAGAGAUUCCAAUAAGGACUACAUAAGAAGCAAAAUGAGUGAAUCUACACUCUAAAACUCCCUCUGUUCCUAAAUAUAAGUUUUUUUAGAGAUUCCAGUACGGAAUACAUAAGGUGCAAAAUGAGUGAAUCUACACUCUAAAAUAUAUCUAUAUACAUCCGUAUGUAGUCUGUAUUGAAAUAUCUUAAAAGGCUUAUAUUUUGAAACGGAGGUAUGUAGCUAUGUAAAAAUAUCCAUGCUUCAACUUUUUUAAAUGAUGUUAGAAGAGAGAUAAAAAUAUUCAGGGGUAAUAAAUAACUAAUUAACAAAAAAGUAAUAUUUUGUGGAAAGAUCAGACAUAUUUAUAUAUAUGGUUAGGUUGUCUUCGACUCUAUGUAAUUGCACAUGCAUUGUCUAUGCAAAAUUCUAGUUUUGUUGACUUGAUGAACUAUAUUUUAAAUUAGAAUAUCUUUAUAAACAAUAUUCUUUGUGGCAUCUUCAGUUGGACACUCUUUGUUAUUGAUCAGCGUGUUCAAUCCUUCCUUGUUUGUCACUCUCGAUAAUGCCACAUACAGUUGUCCAUGGCAGAAUGCUUGCUUAGGCAAAUAUAUUCCUACUUUGUUUUUGCAAGGAUGUUGUUGUCGUCGAGCAUUAUUUGCAGUUCUUUGACGAUGUUGGGGUCCACUGUUGAUUUAUUAUCAUUGCAUCUUGACGCACUUAUCAUGUUUGCCACCUUAUUUACAUUAUUAUAGAUGUACAGCUGUGUGAACCAAGGUUUGUCUGUACCUUUAGGUAAAAGAGUUCCGAUGUGGUGGUAGUUCUGUCCACGCAAACGAAAAAGAGAAAGUUCUUUGCGAGUGUUUAUUUCCUUGUCCACAACUCCUCCCAUCGAUGUGAAUGAAAACAUUGAGUUGUAUGACCAUAUAAUCCAGCCCUUCACUUCUUAAGAGGUUUCUGAGGUAUGGUGGAGGGUCUCUUAUUGGUGGCAGAUUGAUUUUUCCCUGUUUGCAGCAUAUUCCAAAAGAGGGUGUCUUAGUUCCUUUGUUGAAUUUAAUCGUUCUUCACACCAUACCAAUGAUUUGCAAUAUUAGCAUUUGUAUGUUGGCCUUCCGAAUUUCCAUGUCUUUCUAUUAGCACUUGUUGAGGUUGUGGUUCUGUUGCUGUCUCCAACAUUGAUUCUAAUGUUAAUUUUGUUGCUUUCGCUUCUUGUACGCUUCAAUUUCUUAUCUUCUUUAGCAUUAUCCUUUCUCAAUUGUUUAGGAGCCUCUAUGUUUGUAUUUCUUCUUCCCUCUGCAGUCCUUGUCCUCUUUGUGCUCCUUGAGUUUAAAGCUUGAUCUUUCUUUCUUUUUGUGUGGUGAGCUGUUAGCGCUGACGUAUGUUGGACUGUCAUCUCUACAAAAUUUAUUUUGUUAGUGACAUAUAGAGUUUUCUUAAUAAUGUUUUGCCACUGCAGACAUGUAAGUGCAUUUGGAGAUAUAGAGACUAUAAUGGGGGUGUCACAUACAGAACAUCUGGAGAUCAAUAUUGUUUAUCUGGUAUGGCACUAUAAAUUAAUAUGUGUUCAAUAGUGUUGCUCUUUUUGUAGCUUUCACACUACUGUCAUGGCAGUGUAUGUAUGCAUGGAAAAACAUGGUUAGAAGAGUUUUGACAUAGAAGAUUAGAAGCAAGGUUGAGCUGAGAUCAAAUGCUGACACACGUGAAGCAUUGCAUGUGGAUAUUACCUGAGGUUGAUGGUGUUGAUGCCGUGUCUUCAGUUUGUUGGACGUUUCUUUAUGGCGUUUGGGCGUCGCGGGCGUAUAUUGGAUACAAUUUGGUAGAGUUGCUUCUAUGCCUUCGAUUUUUCGGUCGUCUUGUGUGUUCGAUCAUCCUAACAUCUUGAUAAAAGAGCUAUUGAGAAAGUACAUCAUGGGUCAGACCGAAGAGUUGAAUGUCGUCUUGUAAAAUUAUUGUUGAAUGAUGACUAUGUGAUAUAAGCAGAAGGGAUGAGCGUGUGACCAUA